GCGAGCUCAUCGUUCUCUUGGGCCAAAGUCGCGGCUCCCUCUCGGCUGCAAGCCAAAGACUGAGGGACGAAACCGAGAAGACUGUGUGCAAUGUAUAUCAAGAAUUUCCCUAUUCUUCAGCGAUUGAAGAGGGAAGAAUUCUUUGAUCAAGCUGGAAAAUACAUUUUAGGUGCAGUAAUUGUAGGAUGCAUAUUUUGGAGCUUAGUCUAUGGUCUGCUCAUUUGGUAUUUUAAAUGGAAACGUGGCAAAGAUGAGAGAAAAGGCUCAGUCAGAAGAGUCUCAUUUUGAGCACCAUUUCAUAAUUCUGCUUUUUUCCCAUU